rnacentral:rRNA from 1 species
GCUAACCGUGCGAAGGUAGCGUAAUCACUUGUUCUUUAAAUGAGGACUAGUAUGAACGGCCCCACGAGGGCUGCACUGUCUCCUUUUUCUAAUCAAUGAAACUAAUCUCCCCGUGAAGAAGCGGGGAUAAUUCUAUAAGACGAGAAGACCCUAUGGAGCUUUAAACAACUGAAACACUUGCUUUUCCAUUAACCUCUUCCGAGUUCUUUACUUCACUCAAGCAUUUUUAUUUCUAGUUUUAGGUUGGGGUGACCACGGAGCAAAACUAAACCUCCACGAAGAAAUGAAUACUUUUUAAGCCACAAACUACUUUUUUAAGCAUCAACAAAUUGACCUUCAUUGACCCAAUAUAUUGAUCAACGAACCAAGUUACCCUAGGGAUAACAGCGCAAUCUACUUCAAGAGCUCGUAUCGACAAGUAGGUUUACGACCUCGAUGUUGGAUCAGGGU